AUAUGUAGACUGAGCCAUGUAUCUUGCUGCUGUAGCAUAACUGGCCGCCGACGGAUCCACCGCCGCCGUCUGCCCAUUCCCACGAUCUGGCCGCCGCCGCGCCCUCCCGACCCCAUCGUCUCCAACCUUCCUCGCCGCCCCGCGCCACCCCUACACCCCUUCGCCGCGCGCCGCUCCGCCCCCGCAUCCCUUCGCUGCGCGCCGCCCCCGCCCCCGCAUCCCUUCGCCGCGCGCCGCCGCCGUGCUCCGCCAGAUCCAGCCACCGCUGCCGCCCUGAGACGCAGCCACCGCCGCAGCCCCGAGACGCAGCCACAGCCGCCGCCCCUAGUCCCGGCCAUCUCCGCCGCCCCGAGACCAUGCCACUGCCGCCUCCCCGCACCCAGCCCACCUCCUCCCUUGUCUUGUCCUCACGGCACUCGUCGGCCUCCUGGUAACCACAUCAGGCCAAGAUCGGAGGGACCUCGUAACUGGGCGCGCUCCCUCGAACUGCCGUGCGUCCUCCCUCGAACGGUCGGACUCCCUGUCCCCGAGCUGCCCGCCGCCCGGCCCCUAGUAGGCCUCCACCUCCGGCUGCCGGCUCACGGGCUCCUGUACUCCUACAACACGUGCACGGGUACGACCGGCGACAACGAGUAGGCGACAAGUGUAUCACAGUGAGCAACGAGACAAAGUAUAAACAUUUGCCAUGGAGCAGUACACAUAUUUAAACUCCUCAUCCCAGUGAGUGGUCCAACACCACUGUAUCCAGCGGUCCAACCCGCCAGCCGAGGCCGUUCACCAUCGCCUCAGUGUGAGUUCGCUGUUGAGAACAAGCAUGACCACCUACUGUUCCCGGUAGUCGCCUUGGCCGCCCUCGGCCACGAGCUCAUCCACCAUGGUUACUGGCAGCCGUUCAAGUGGAGCGCGGGGAACAGUCCAAGUUGAAAUCAUGGCCACCAUCUUCACCAUGCGCUGCAGCCGUCCAAGUCGAGCACACGCAACAGUCCAAGGAAGCAGGACAAGCACCACAAAAGGGCUCUCCCUCCCUUGGCUCCUUGCAUUCCCUUCUCCUUGCAGACCAGGCCGGGCGCUGGGCCAACCACUUCGUCUGUCUACCUCCUUCCCCGUGCAGAGAAGUUACCUUGUUGCGGGCUGACCUGGAGGCGGCUCCUCCACGUCGACACAAUUGCACGACAAACGUGCUACUGACCACGCAAGCUUCCUCAAGGAGCUCGUGCCCAACGAUACUGAAAGGAAAAACUGCUCCAGUUUUGAACUUCUUAUCCAGUCAUGCUAUUACUGAGUGAAAAAUGGAAAGAAAGUGUAUUGCAAUUGAUCUCUCUUAGACCCUGUCAAUCCUCUAUUUAUCCUUUGUUUGCUUGUUUUUUGGCCUGUAAUUCAAGAACUUUGACCUUCAUAAUUCGGUUUUUGGUUAAUUUGUUAUGCCCAGUACAAACCAUUAAAUCUGAAGAGGCUUCUAAUA